CACACUGGGACUGAGACACGGCCCAGACUCCUACGGGAGGCAGCAGUGGGGAAUCUUGCGCAAUGGGCGAAAGCCUGACGCAGCAACGCCGCGUGGAGGACGAAGGCUCUCAGAGUUGUAAACUCCUUUCAGUAGGGACGACAUCGACGGUACCUACAGAAGAAGCCCCGGCCAACUACGUGCCAGCAGCCGCCGUAACAC
rnacentral:rRNA from 1 species